ensembl:lncRNA
UAAUGGCGUAACUAUGUUACUAUUUCCACCCAGAAUAAAGAAAGUUGUCGGCCGUGGCUGCGCUGGAGUCCGAGGUAGGAAACCCCAACGCCGCCGUGUUUGGGUGAUAGAGUUUAGAUCGGGUUAGAUUAAAUAAUCUCGGAUAUAAAUAACAAUAAUCGGAAUAAAGAAAGUUGUCGGCCGUGGCUGCGCUGGAGUCCGAGGUAGGAAACCCCAACGCCGCCGUGUUUGGGUGAUAGAGUUUAGAUCGGGUUAGAUUAAAUAAUCUCGGAUAUAAAUAACAAUAAUCGGGUUAAAUAACUUCACAUGGUGUGUCUGGUGUGUUUCCCAG